GCAGCUGGUCCUGCAGCUCGUGGCGGGGAUCUUGCACCUGGGGAACAUCAGUUUCUGUGAAGACGGGAAUUACGCCCGAGUGGAGAGUGUGGACCUCCUGGCCUUUCCCGCCUACCUGCUGGGCAUUGACAGCGGGCGACUGCAGGAGAAGCUGACCAGCCGCAAGAUGGACAGCCGCUGGGGCGGGCGCAGCGAGUCCAUCAAUGUGACCCUCAACGUGGAGCAGGCAGCCUACACCCGUGAUGCCCUGGCCAAGGGGCUCUAUGCCCGCCUCUUUGACUUCCUCGUCGAGGCGAGUGGGGCUGGGGCUGGAAGGCAGAGUGGGUCACAAACAUUUAUGGAAGCUGAGUGCAGUGGCUCACGGCUGCAAUCCCAAUGCUUUGGGUGGCUGAGUUGGGAGCAUCCUUUGAGGCCAGAAGUUCAAGACCAGCCUGGGCAACAUAGCAAGACCCCCAUCUCUACAGAAAUUUCAAAUUAGUUGGGUGUAGUGGUGUGCACAUGUAGUUCUAGCUACUCAGAGGGCUGAGGUUGGGGGAUCAUUUGAACCCAGGAGGUUGGGGCUGCAGUGAGCUAUGAUUGCGCUAUUGUACUCCAGCCUGGGUGACAGAGCAAGACCCUGUCUCUAAAAAAAACUUUUGGCCAGAUACAGUGGCUCAUGCCUGUAAUCCCAGCACUUUGGGAGGCUGAGGUGGACGGAUCACUUGAGGUCUGGAGUUCGAGACCAGCCUGGCCAACAUGGUGAAAAAUUACCUCUCUACUAAAAAUUACCCAGGAGUGGUGGCACAUGCCUUUAAUCCCAGCUACUUGGGAGGCUGAGGCAGGAGAAUCACUUGAACCUGGGAGGUGGAGGUUGCAGUGAGCUGA
rnacentral:sRNA from 1 species